rnacentral:rRNA from 1 species
ACCUGGUGGCGAGUGGCGAACGGGUGAGUAAUACAUCGGAACAUGUCCUGUAGUGGGGGAUAGCCCGGCGAAAGCCGGAUUAAUACCGCAUACGAUCUACGGAUGAAAGCGGGGGACCUUCGGGCCUCGCGCUAUAGGGUUGGCCGAUGGCUGAUUAGCUAGUUGGUGGGGUAAAGGCCUACCAAGGCGACGAUCAGUAGCUGGUCUGAGAGGACGACCAGCCACACUGGGACUGAGACACGGCCCAGACUCCUACGGGAGGCAGCAGUGGGGAAUUUUGGACAAUGGGCGAAAGCCUGAUCCAGCAAUGCCGCGUGUGUGAAGAAGGCCUUCGGGUUGUAAAGCACUUUUGUCCGGAAAGAAAUCCUUGGCUCUAAUACAGUCGGGGGAUGACGGUACCGGAAGAAUAAGCACCGGCUAACUACGUGCCAGCAGCCGCGGUAAUACGUAGGGUGCAAGCGUUAAUCGGAAUUACUGGGCGUAAAGCGUGCGCAGGCGGUUUGCUAAGACCGAUGUGAAAUCCCCGGGCUCAACCUGGGAACUGCAUUGGUGACUGGCAGGCUAGAGUAUGGCAGAGGGGGGUAGAAUUCCACGUGUAGCAGUGAAAUGCGUAGAGAUGUGGAGGAAUACCGAUGGCGAAGGCAGCCCCC